UCGAACGGUGAACACGGAGCUUGCUCUGUGGGAUCAGUGGCGAACGGGUGAGUAACACGUGAGCAACCUGCCCCUGACUCUGGGAUAAGCGCUGGAAACGGCGUCUAAUACUGGAUACGAGUAGCGACCGCAUGGUCAGUUACUGGAAAGAUUUAUUGGUUGGGGAUGGGCUCGCGGCCUAUCAGCUUGUUGGUGAGGUAAUGGCUCACCAAGGCGUCGACGGGUAGCCGGCCUGAGAGGGUGACCGGCCACACUGGGACUGAGACACGGCCCAGACUCCUACGGGAGGCAGCAGUGGGGAAUAUUGCACAAUGGGCGCAAGCCUGAUGCAGCAACGCCGCGUGAGGGAUGACGGCCUUCGGGUUGUAAACCUCUUUUAGCAGGGAAGAAGCGAAAGUGACGGUACCUGCAGAAAAAGCGCCGGCUAACUACGUGCCAGCAGCCGCGGUAAUACGUAGGGCGCAAGCGUUAUCCGGAAUUAUUGGGCGUAAAGAGCUCGUAGGCGGUUUGUCGCGUCUGCUGUGAAAUCCGGAGGCUCAACCUCCGGCCUGCAGUGGGUACGGGCAGACUAGAGUGCGGUAGGGGAGAUUGGAAUUCCUGGUGUAGCGGUGGAAUGCGCAGAUAUCAGGAGGAACACCGAUGGCGAAGGCAGAUCUCUGGGCCGUAACUGACGCUGAGGAGCGAAAGGGUGGGGAGCAAACAGGCUUAGAUACCCUGGUAGUCCACCCCGUAAACGUUGGGAACUAGUUGUGGGGUCCAUUCCACGGAUUCCGUGACGCAGCUAACGCAUUAAGUUCCCCGCCUGGGGAGUACGGCCGCAAGGCUAAAACUCAAAGGAAUUGACGGGGACCCGCACAAGCGGCGGAGCAUGCGGAUUAAUUCGAUGCAACGCGAAGAACCUUACCAAGGCUUGACAUAUACGAGAACGGGCCAGAAAUGGUCAACUCUUUGGACACUCGUAAACAGGUGGUGCAUGGUUGU
rnacentral:rRNA from 1 species